GCAUUUAUAGCUAAGAGGUCGAAAGCAGUGGACUCAUAAUCCAUAUUUAAUUAUUAUAUAAACAUCAAUGGUUCAAAUCCAUUUAAAUGCA
rnacentral:tRNA from 1 species